UGCCGCUUGCGAGGGCGUAUGGUGGAUGCCUUGGCAGACAGUACCGAUGAAGGACGUUUGAGGAUGCGAUAAUCCUAGGGGAGCCUCCAACAUGGCUUUGAUCCUAGGGUCUCCGAAUGGGGGAACCCGCCGGCCGUCAUGGGCCGGCACCGCCUAUGGGCGGGGGGUACGCAGGGAAGUGAAACAUCUCAGUACCUGCAGGAAGGGAUACUCCGUGAGUAGUGGCGAGCGAAAGCGGAUCAGACCAAACCGGUUGCGCGUGAUACCCGUCGGGGGUUGCGUUGCCGGUGUUGUGGGAUCACGUGUCCCGGUUCCGACGGGCCGGGCGGGAGUCAUAAAACGGCUUGCCAGGGGAACAGGCUUGAAGGCCUGGCCGUAGAGGGUGCCAGCCCCGUACCUGGACGUGAGCCGUCUUCCGAUCGUGUUGUCCCAAGUAGCGCGGGCCUCGUGGAAUCCCGCGUGAAUCAGCCCAGACCGUUGGGUAAGUCUAAGCAUACCUGUCUGACCGAUAGCGUACCAGUACCGUGAGGGAAAGGUGAAAAGCACCCCGGGAGGGGAGUGAAACAGUUCCUGAAACCGUGCGCCCACAAACCGUCGGAGCCUCUGUGUGGGGUGACGGCGUGCCUAUCGAAAAAUGAGUCUGCGAGUCAGUGGCGGGUGGCGAGCAUAAGCCGUGUGGCGUAUGCGUAGCGAAAGCGAGUCUUAAAAGGCGUUUGUAGUCGCUUGUCCUGGACCCGAAGCGGGAUGAUCUAGCCCUGGGCAGGUUGAAGCGCGGGUAAGACCGCGUGGAGGACCGAACCCACCUGGGUUGAAAACCGGGGGGAUGACCUGGGGCUAGGGGUGAAAGGCCAAUCAAAUUCCGUGAUAGCUGGUUCUCUCCGAAAUGCAUUUAGGUGCAGCGUCGGUCGAUUGCGUCGCGGGGGUAGAGCUACCGGAUGCUUGCGGGCCCUUGUUGGGUACCAACAGCAGCCGAACUCCGAAUACCGUUGACGUGUAUUCCGGCAGUGAGUCGGCGGGGGAUAAGCUCCGUCGUCGAGAGGGAGACAGCCCAGACCGUCGUCUAAGGUCCCGAAGCGUGUGCUAAGUGGGAAAGGAUGUGGAGUCGCAUAGACAGCCAGGAGGUUGGCUCAGAAGCAGCCAUCCUUGAAAGAGUGCGUAACAGCUCACUGGUCUAGUGGUUCCGCGCCGACAAUGUAGCGGGGCUCAAGCACACCACCGAAGACGCGGCAGCAAUCUUCAUGGUUGCUGGGUAGGAGAGCGUCCUGCGAGGGGCGAAGCGGCCGGGUAACCGUGCCGUGGACUUCGUGGGAGUGAGAAUGCAGACAUGAGUAGCGAGAGACGGGUGAGGAUCCCGUCCGCUGGAUGACCAAGGGUUCCGGGGCCACGUUCGUCGUCCCCGGGUGAGUCGGGUCCUAAGGCGAGGCCGACAGGCGUAGUCGAAUGGAUGAACGGGUGGAUAUUCCCGUACCGACCAUGGACCGGCAAAACCGAGACGGUGAGUACUAACCUCCGCCUCGUGGUGGUUCCUUCCUUCGGGUUGGUGUCGCCGCGUGGCGUUGGGAGCGUAGCCGUAGUAGGUCAGCGCAGGGGUGACACGGAAUGGGAGCCGGCCGCGGAGGUGGUUUUCCGUGGUCAAGCACGCAGCCAGUCAUGUAGGCAAAUCCGCAUGGCGCGCAUGGCGAGGUGUGAUGAUGGGAGCCGUUAUGGCUCGAUAUCCGGUUGUCCAGGCCGUCGAGAAAAGCCUCGGCGUGAGGGCCAUGGCCGCCCGUACCCCAAACCGACACUGGUGGUCAGGUAGAGAAUACCAAGGCGAUCGAGCGAAUCCUGGUCAAGGAACUCGGCAAAUCACUCCCGUGCCUUCGGUAUAAGGGAGACCCGCUGGGGUGAACCGGCUAGCCCGGGGAGCUUUGGUGGGUGGCACAGACCAGGGGGUAGCGACUGUUUACCAAAAACACAGGUGCAUGCGAAGGCGAAAGCCGCUGUAUAUGCACUGACGCCUGCCCGGUGCCGGAAGGUUAAGAGGAUCCGUCAAUCCCUUCGGGGACGAAGCGGUGAAUUCAAGCCCCGGUAAACGGCGGUGGUAACUAUAACCAUCCUAAGGUAGCGAAAUUCCUUGUCGGGUAAGUUCCGACCUGCACGAAUGGCGUA
rnacentral:rRNA from 1 species